UGGUUUAGAGUGAAACUCUUUAACAAAUGACUUUUCCAUUCUAAAUGUUUUCUUAAUUGUGUGGCAAUAAUUACUCGAGGGGAUGUUAAGACUGGAAAAUAUGAAAACAGCAAUUGAAAUGUACAAGCAAGAAAAGAGAAGGGCAAGAAGAAGUUUUUCAAAGAGGCAUUCUUUCCUUCCUUAAGAGUAAAGUGGAGCAAAACCUCAUAUUUAACUCCUUAAAUGAAUACACCAGAUUUGGCAAGAGAAAUAGCUGUGUUCCACUUGGCCUGGUCUGCUUAAAUUAACUCAGAGAAGACAUGAAUGAAACACAUGUCAUGGUCAGACACUUAAGACACUUAAAGGAGGGUUUGUGGGACAGACGACUGGGAAUUCAGUGCAACAGUCAACUCUCAAUAGCAACCAGGAAAGAAUCCCUUCAGGCCAAAUAUUCCCACAGGGGAUAGAAGCAGCAGUGGUGAACGACGUAUCAAUGGGAAUUGGACAAGGCUGUUCAGCUCAUUUUACCAUAUGCUACAGACUCCCAGACAUGAUAGCACGACAUCAUCUCUUUCCUGCUAAUAUCAGCUGAAUGUACAAGUUUUAUCCUAAGAAGAGCUCAUUCAAAAUCAAUAAAUGCAUGGGUAAAAAUCUUAGCUUUGGAGUACAACACCUUCAUGAGGUACUGAGCUGCACAAAAUGGUAAGGAAGAUUGUAGUAACAAGGCUGAGAUGCUGGAUCACAGCAAAAGUAUGUGGUCACAUGCUACAUAUUAAGGGAAUAGUCUGUGCCAGUCCUGUGGCAUUAGCACAAUAUGAACAUCCUGAAGCAGAGCCAUGAUCAGCACAUUCCCUUUCGCUCGCUAUAGUGGAGUGAAAGGACAGCUUCACCAAAAAUGUACUGGCCCAUUUGCAGACAAAGCAGGGAGGAUAUUACAGCUUUGGCAAGGCAAUGAAUCUUGCAAGGCCAAGAAGGAGCAAACUAGACCACAGUGGGGAAAGAAACUAUCUCAGAGCAAGCUUGUGCUAUUUUCCUAACCUGACACAGUAGUUUAAUAAAUCCUUGGAGUGUCAGGAAGAAGCAAGCUGAGAAAGGUGACGGGAGGAUACCAGAGAUGCAGCAUUAAUUCAGUGUGAUCGGUGACUCAGUCACUGAGUUACUGAUUGCCAAACAUAAUCCUGCACCUUCAGAGAAUAUGAGCACACAGAAAGCUUUAAGAAAAGCAAAGGUACAUUAAAAGCAUACAUGAGAAAGGCAAACAGUAAGAAAAUA